rnacentral:rRNA from 1 species
GAGGAAAGAGGGGGGUGUGCCUAAUACAUGCAAGUCGAGCGAACGGACGAGAAGCUUGCUUCUCUGAUGUUAGCGGCGGACGGGUGAGUAACACGUGGAUAACCUACCUAUAAGACUGGGAUAACUUCGGGAAACCGUAGCUAAUACCGGAUAAUAUUUUGAACCGCAUGGUUCAAAAGUGAAAGACGGUCUUGCUGUCACUUAUAGAUGGAUCCGCGCUGCAUUAGCUAGUUGGUAAGGUAACGGCUUACCAAGGCAACGAUGCAUAGCCGACCUGAGAGGGUGAUCGGCCACACUGGAACUGAGACACGGUCCAGACUCCUACGGGAGGCAGCAGUAGGGAAUCUUCCGCAAUGGGCGAAAGCCUGACGGAGCAACGCCGCGUGAGUGAUGAAGGUCUUCGGAUCGUAAAACUCUGUUAUUAGGGAAGAACAUAUGUGUAAGUAACUGUGCACAUCUUGACGGUACCUAAUCAGAAAGCCACGGCUAACUACGUG